CCCUUAGAUGUCCGGGGCUGCACGCGCGCUACACUGAAGGAAUCAGCGUGCUAGAAAACCUUGUUUGACAUGGCUAGGUAACCCGUUGAAAAUCUUUCGUGAUUGGGAUCGGGACUUGCAAAUGUGUCCCUUGAACGAGGAAUUCCCAGUAAGUGCGGGUCAUAAGCUCGCGCUGAUUACGUCCCUGCCCUUUGUACACACCGCCCGUCGCUGCCCGGAACUGAGCCGUUUCGAGAAGACUGGAGACUGCGAACUUUGGGCUGGAAAACAGCUUUUUGUUUGUGGAAACCACUUUAAUCGCAGCGGCUUGAACCGGGCAAAAGUCGUAACA
rnacentral:rRNA from 1 species